rnacentral:rRNA from 1 species
CGUUAGCGGCGGACGGGUGAGUAACACGUGGGUAACCUACCUAUAAGACUGGGAUAACUCCGGGAAACCGGGGCUAAUACCGGAUAAUACAUGAAACCGCAUGGUUUCAUGAUGAAAGACGGUUUUGCUGUCACUUAUAGAUGGACCCGCGGCGUAUUAGCUAGUUGGUGAGGUAACGGCUUACCAAGGCAACGAUACGUAGCCGACCUGAGAGGGUGAUCGGCCACACUGGAACUGAGACACGGUCCAGACUCCUACGGGAGGCAGCAGGC